CAGGAGGCAGCAGUGAGGAAUUUUCCGCAAUGGGCGAAAGCCUGACGGAGCAAUACCGCGUGAGGGAUGACGGCCUUUGGGUUGUAAACCUCUUUUAUCAAGGAGGAAGUUCUGACGUGUACUUGAUGAAUAAGCAUCGGCUAACUCCGUGCCAGCAGCCGCGGUAAGACGGAGGAUGCAAGUGUUAUCCGGAAUCACUGGGCGUAAAGCGUCUGUAGGUGGUUUAAAAAGUCUAUUGUUAAAAAUUGAAGCUUAACUUCAAAGAUGCAAUGGAAACUUUUAAACUUGAGUAUGGUAGGGGUAGAGGGAAUUUCCAGUGGAGCGGUGAAAUGCGUAGAUAUUGGAAAGACCACCAAUGGCGAAGGCACUCUACUGGGCCAUUACUGACACUGAGAGACGAAAGCUAGGGGAGCAAAUGGGAUUAGAUACCCCGGU
rnacentral:rRNA from 1 species